GGCACAAACUUGAAGUAGGAUUGUUGGGUAUCGUCAGCUGAACCUACUAGUCUACCUUACUUCAAAUUUGGGCCC
rnacentral:pre_miRNA from 1 species